AUUGAACGCUGGCGGCAGGCCUAACACAUGCAAGUCGAGCGGAUGAAGGGAGCUUGCUCCUGGAUUCAGCGGCGGACGGGUGAGUAAUGCCUAGGAAUCUGCCUGGUAGUGGGGGAUAACGUCCGGAAACGGGCGCUAAUACCGCAUACGUCCUGAGGGAGAAAGUGGGGGAUCUUCGGACCUCACGCUAUCAGAUGAGCCUAGGUCGGAUUAGCUAGUUGGUGGGGUAAAGGCCUACCAAGGCGACGAUCCGUAACUGGUCUGAGAGGAAGAUCAGUCACACUGGAACUGAGACACGGUCCAGACUCCUACGGGAGGCAGCAGUGGGGAAUAUUGGACAAUGGGCGAAAGCCUGAUCCAGCCAUGCCGCAUGUGUGAAGAAGGUCUUCGGAUUGUAAAGCACUUUAAGUUGGGAGGAAGGGCAGUAAGUUAAUACCUUGCUGUUUUGACGUUACCAACAGAAUAAGCACCGGCUAACUUCGUG
rnacentral:rRNA from 1 species